UAGGGAAUAUUGGUAAUGUGCGAAAGCGCGAACCAGCAACGCCGCGUGCACGAUGAAGGCCUUCGGGUCGUAAAGUGCUUUUAGAGAGGAUGAGGAAGGACAGUACUUUCUGAAUAAGCCUCGGCUAACUACGUGCCAGCAGCCGCGGUAAAACGUAGGAGGCUAGCGUUAUCCGGAUUUACUGGGCGUAAAGCGCAUGCAGGUGGUUUUGUAAGUUGGAUGUGAAAGCUCCUGGCUUAACUGGGAGAGGUCGUUCAAAACUACAAGACUUGAGAUUGGUAGAGGAAAAUAGAAUUCCGGGUGUAGUGGUGAAAUGCGUAGAUAUCCGGAGGAACACCAGUGGCGAAAGCGGUUUUCUGGACCAAUUCUGACACUCAGAUGCGAAAGCUAAGGUAGCAAACG
rnacentral:rRNA from 1 species